rnacentral:rRNA from 1 species
AGAGUUUGAUCCUGGCUCAGAACGAACGCUGGUAGCGUGGAUUAGGCAUGCAAGUCGAACGGGAUCACGAGGAUAGCAAUAUUCUUGUGUGAGAGUGGCGGAUUGGGGAGGAACACGUGAACAACCUGCCCUUGAGUUCGGGAAAACCAUUGGAAACGAUGGCUAAUACCGGAUGUGGCGUCUGAGGACAUCCUCGGAACGCUAAAGGGGGCCGCAAGGCUCCCGCUCAUCGAGGGGUUCGCGCACCAUCAGCUUGUUGGCGGGGUAACGGCCCACCAAGGCCUACGGUUAGCUGGUCUGAGAGGAUGACCAGCCCCACUGGGACUGAGAUACUGCCCAGACUCCUACGGGAGGCUGCAGUCGAGGAUCAUUUGCAAUGGGCGAAAGCCUGACAAUGCGACGCUGCGUGGAGGAUGAAGGCCUUCGGGUUGUAAACUCCUGUCAUAGGGGAACAGGCGAUCCUACCUAAUACGUAGGUGAGUUGAGUGUACCCUAAGAGGAAUUGGCGGCUAACUCUGUGCCAGCAGCCGCGGUAAUACAGAGGCCAAGAGCGUUGUUCGGAUUUACUGGGCGUAAAGGGCGCGUAGGCGGUCUUGCGUGUCAAGUGUGAAAUCUCCGGGCUCAACCCGGAAAGUGCGCUUGAAACUACAGGACUCGAGUCUGGGAGAGGGAAUCGGAAUAUAGGGUGUAGCGGUGAAAUGCAUAGAUAUUACUCAGAACACCGAUUGCGAAGGCAUCUCACGAAUCCGUCAUUGACGCUGAGGCACGAAAGCGUGGGGAUCAAACAGGAUUAGAUACCCUGGUAGUCCACGCAGUAAACGAUGAUAACUAACCGUCGGCGAUAGACAGUCGGUGGCCAAGCGAAAGCGAUAAGUUAUCCACCUGGGGAGUACGUUCGCAAGAAUGAAACUCAAAGGAAUUGACGGGGGCCCGCACAAGCGGAGGAACAUGUGGUUUAAUUCGAUGAUACGCGAGGAACCUUACCCGGGCUCGAACGGCUAGUGAACGACUCAGAGAUGAGAAGGUCCUUCGGGACACUAGUCGAGGUGCUGCAUGGUUGUCGUCAGCUCGUGUCGUGAGAUGUUGGCUUAAGUGCCAUAACGAGCGCAACCCUUGUCGCCAGUUACCAUCAUUCAGUUGGGGACUCUGGCGAGACUGCCACCGCAAGGUGUGAGGAAGGCGGGGAUGACGCCAAAUCAGCACGGCCCUUACGUCCGGGGCGACACACGUGUUACAAUGGUAGCUACAGAGGGAAGCCACCUGGUGACAGGGAGCAGAUCUCGAAAAGCUAUCUCAGUUCGGAUUGGAGUCUGCAACUCGACUCCAUGAAGCUGGAUUCGCUAGUAAUCGCGCAUCAGCCAUGGCGCGGUGAAUACGUUCCCGGGCCUUGCACACACCGCCCGUCA